rnacentral:rRNA from 1 species
CCUACGGGAGGCAGCAGUGAGGAAUAUUGGUCAAUGGACGCAAGUCUGAACCAGCCAUGCCGCGUGCAGGAAGACGGCCCUAUGAGUUGUAAACUGCUUUUGUACGAGGGUAAACGCAGAUACGCGUAUCUGUCUGAAAGUAUCGUACGAAUAAGGAUCGGCUAACUCCGUGCCAGCAGCCGCGGUAAUACGGAGGAUUCAAGCGUUAUCCGGAUUUAUUGGGUUUAAAGGGUGCGUAGGCGGUCGGAUAAGUUAGAGGUGAAAUCCCGAGGCUCAACUUCGGAAUUGCCUCUGAUACUGUCCGGCUAGAGAGUAGUUGCGGUAGGCGGAAUGUAUGGUGUAGCGGUGAAAUGCUUAGAGAUCACACAGAACACCGAUUGCGAAGGCAGCUUACCAAGCUACUUCUGACGUUGAGGCACGAAAGCGUGGGGAGCAAACAGGAUUAGAUACCCUGGUAGUC